rnacentral:rRNA from 1 species
GAUGAACGCUGGCGGCGUGCUUAACACAUGCCAGUCGAGCGAGAAGUUUUGAACAGAUUCUUCGGAUGAAAUUUAAAAUGGAAAGCGGCGGACGGGUGAGUAACGCGUAGGCAACCUGCCCCAUACAAAGGGAUAGCAUUUGGAAACGAAUAUUAAUACCUUAUGAAACUUAACUAGUGCAUGCUAGGUAGGUCAAAGAUUUAUCGGUAUGGGAUGGGCCUGCGUCUGAUUAGCUAGUUGGUGAGGUAACGGCUCACCAAGGCGACGAUCAGUAGCCGACCUGAGAGGGUGAACGGCCACAUUGGAACUGAGACACGGUCCAAACUCCUACGGGAGGCAGCAGUGGGGAAUAUUGCACAAUGGGGGAAACCCUGAUGCAGCAACGCCGCGUGAACGAUGAAGGCCUUUGGGUCGUAAAGUUCUGUUCUAGGUGAUGAAAACUGACAGUAACCUAGGAGAAAGCCCCGGCUAACUCCGUG